rnacentral:sRNA from 1 species
ACAGUAUGUACUCACAGAGCGUCUGG